rnacentral:rRNA from 1 species
CCCGCUGAAYUUAAGCAUAUGAUUACGCGGUGGAAAGGAAACAAACCCGGCUUCACACAGUAGCGGCGAGCGAAGUGUCGAAGCGCGCGUAUUUUCAAGGGCGGCCCCUGAAGUGUGCCGUUCCUGUUUCACUGAAAGACGGUUUGCUCGGAGCGGGUGGCCUCUGUCGGCGUUCCCGCCGCGGCUAGCGUAAGCCCGUCCCAGACGGCGAUGGCCCGGUAGGUGUCCGACGUACGGUCGCUUAGUCUCGUACCGCUCUCGUGCAACCGCGGAGUAGGAUAGUUUGCGAUUGCUGUCCCAAGACAGGAGGUGAGUCACUGAUGAAGCUAUGUAUCCCUACGGCACCGAUAGCGCACACGCGCAGUACCGUGAGGGAAAACUGAAACAGCACUUGGCGGCGAGAGUUAAAGUAGUACGUGAAACCAUUGGCCAGGAACGGAGGGGUGCCGUCGUGCAGACCCUCCACCCGUCUUGAAACACGGACCGUGGAGUUGGAGUGUCGCGCGAGUCCCCGAGGCGUCGAAACCUCGCGGCGGGCGUAUCGAAGGAAACGAAGCUCUUUGGGCAUAUCGUAGAGCGUGGCGGUGCAUACCCGAUAGACGGUGAUCUAUUCUAGAGCGGGCGGAAGCCGGAGGAAACUCCGGUGGACGGCCUGAGCGAUUCUGACGUGCAAAUCGAUCGCGAGACUCGAGUAUAGGGGCGAAAGACUAAUCGAACAGUCGGUAGCUGGUUCCGGCACGAAAUAUCCCUCAGGAUAGCAGACGGCGGCCCUCGACUGGGCGGGCAGUAGCGCGCUGUAGAGCUCAUGACUAGAGGCACUCUGCUCGGCGUUCUUCGGGGGUCCUCCGUGGCCCUCGACCUAAUCUCAAACUCUGAACGCGCGCGCUCCACCCGGCCGCCUCCAGGGCCGGGUAGCUAUACGCUGCACAAAACCCAUUGGCAUGCUGACGCCGUCUAGUGGGCCCUUUUUGGUAAGCAGAACUGGCGAUGCGGGACGAACCAGACGCACGUCACGCGGCCGCCUCUCGAAAGCGCGGCCGCAAUACCUCCGGUGGCAGAUCCUCGCGGCCAACAAGAGACCGCUAAAGGGCGUCAAUCAGUCCAGACAGCAAGUCGGUGGCCACGGAAGUCGGCACCCGCUUAAGGACCGGUGUAACAACCCACUUGCCGAACUGAUGGCCCCGAAAUGGAUGCCGCUGCGUCGCGUACCUCUUGACGUGCCGCCGCCGCGCGAUCCUCGGCGAAUGGAUGCGGCGGCGAGUAGGCCGGUGAGACGGUGGAUGUGAAGUGCACAGGUCGCAGGACCGCAUGGAUCCUGCGUCUGCAAUGAUCUCGGUGUGAGUAGCGAGUAUUUCGAUGAACGAAGCUGUACAGCUCUGAGCCUAUGACUCGAAAGGCAGACGUGGUAGAAGGGUUUCGCGGUACACAGCGCUUGUACGCGAGUUAGUCGUUCCUAAGCGACAGGCCAGCGCCUUCACAGGCCGCCUCGUCUUAACCAGCGAGGACUGUACGCGAAUGGGAAGCCGGUUGACGUUCCGGCGCCUGGAUUCCGAGCACGGCCUCUCGGGGCCUAAGGAGGCGGUAACGCCGUUCCGGCCACAGGAGACGUCGCCGCUGUGCGCACGCGGAAGCCACACUGCUUACGCUGCAGGCAGGUUGUUUUCCGUUGAGGGUCCGUCCACGGACGCCGCCGUAAUCGCAUAAUGCGGCGAAGCGGCAUUGCCGGACGGGCCGCAUAGAGCGUUCAUCAUGUGUACCGACGCUCCUAUGAUAGCUGCACGCCGCGACCCGUGAAAAUCCUGUGGCCGCCGAUACUGUUGCUCGGACCGGUACGUACCUCAGAACCGCAGCAGGUCUCCAAGGUUAGCAGCCUCUUGUCACGCGGAAGUCAAUGUAGGUAAGGGAAGUCGGCAAACGCGAUCUGUACCUUCGGCACAAGGAUUGGCUCUGGCGACGAGUUGGCAGGCCCGUGCUUUCGGGCACGCGGCAGCCAGCGACACGUUAAGUUAGAACCGGCACGGACCGCCCGGGAAUCCGACUGUCUAAUUAAAACAGAGCAUCGCGACCGCCGGCGAUCGACGGCGGUGACGCGAUGUGAUUUCUGCCCAGUGCUCUGAUUGUCAACGUGACGAGAGUCGUGCAAGCACGGGUAAACGGCGGGAGUAACUAUGACUCUCUUCUGGUAGCGAAAUGCCUCGUCGUCUAACUAGUGACGUGCAUGAAUGGAUUAACGAGAUUCCCACUGUCCCUACGUACGGUCCGGCGAAACCACAGCCAAGGGAACGGGCUUGGCGUCGCCUGCGGGGAAAGAAGACCCUGUCGAGCUCGGCACUCAGCGGCCGUUGCGACGAGACGCGGGAGGUGUAGGAUAGGUGGGAGGUGCUCGCACCGACAGUGAAAUACCACCACUCCCGUGUGUCUCAUCGCUAAUACGGCUGGACGGCUCUCUUAAUUGCUUUAUGCGACCACGACGACCAAUGCGGUCCGUAGACAUCGGACGCUCGGGUGCUUGGCUGGGGCGGUACACUAACGAAACCAUAACGUCGGUGUCCAAAGGAACGCUCAGCGGGAACGGAGAUCUCGCGUAGAGCAACCGGGUAAAAGCGUCUUUGAUUCCACAGAUUCUCAGGUAGGAAUGGGAACCGCGAAAGCGAGGCCUCUCGAUCCUUUACGUUCCGUUCAGUCCUCGACUCGAGGCUAGAGGUGUCAGAAAAGUUACCACAGGGAUAACUGGCUUGUGGCUGCCAAGCGUUCUUAGCGACGUGGCUUUUUGAUCCUUCGAUGUCGUCUCUUCCUAACGCAGCCACGCAGCAGUGGCUAACCGUUGGAUUGUUCGCCCUACACAAGGGAACGCGAGAUGGGUUUAGACCGUUGUGAAACAGGUUAGUUUUACCCUACAGGCGAGCCUGCGCGGCGCGCAUCUUAGCGCGCCGGGAGCAUCGGCAUGCUACGCUUCACCCAGUACGAGAGGAACAGCGAAGCGGGACCUCCGGUAAUCGUGUUUGUUCGCAUGGACAUGCGCCACGCUGCGUCCAGGGUGAUAACGACUGAACGCCUCUAAG